rnacentral:rRNA from 1 species
AGUGGCGAACGGGUGAGUAAUGCAUCGGAACGUGCCCUGAAGUGGGGGAUAACGCAGCGAAAGUUGCGCUAAUACCGCAUAUUCUGUGAGUAGGAAAGCAGGGGAUCGCAAGACCUUGCGCUUUAGGAGCGGCCGAUGUCGGAUUAGCUAGUUGGUGGGGUAAAGGCUCACCAAGGCGACGAUCCGUAGCGGGUCUGAGAGGAUGAUCCGCCACACUGGGACUGAGACACGGCCCAGACUCCUACGGGAGGCAGCAGUGGGGAAUUUUGGACAAUGGGCGCAAGCCUGAUCCAGCCAUGCCGCGUGAGUGAAGAAGGCCUUCGGGUUGUAAAGCUCUUUCGGCGGGGAAGAAAUCGCAUUCUCUAAUACAGGAUGUGGAUGACGGUACCCGAAUAAGAAGCACCGGCUAACUACGUGCCAGCAGCCGCGGUAAUACGUAGGGUGCGAGCGUUAAUCGGAAUUACUGGGCGUAAAGCGUGCGCAGGCGGUUUCGUAAGACAGACGUGAAAUCCCCGGGCUCAACCUGGGAACUGCGUUUGUGACUGCGAGGCUAGAGUUUGGCAGAGGGGGGUGGAAUUCCACGUGUAGCAGUGAAAUGCGU